AAAACCUUCCAUUUUUGAAAAAUAUCCCCUAUUUAUACAAAGGGUAUUUUGGUAAAAAAAUCACUUGCAGGGAUGUGGGUUAUAUGGUAAAGUAAAAUUUUCUUAAAUCCAUUGCCAAUUACUCUUCACUCACCUCAGCCAACAAACGCCGAACUCGACCACACUCUAAAAUGGCGACGGCAACGACGACGGCGACGGUCUCCGAAUCCGUCAUCAAACACAAACCUCACGCAUCGCCGCUUCGCGCCAAUGAUCAAUUGAUCAAUCCGAACUAGCGAGAGUGAAUCCUCAGUUCGACGAAAACAGGAACGGAUUAACAAAUCCGUACAAAUCCGCUACCACCGGUAUGAGAUCAAAAUGACUCGUCUCAGCUCACGCAGAUAAAUACAGAUUUGAGGGAGAAGGACAUACCGGAUUCGACGGAGGUUCGAGAUGAUGCGUCCGUUGUUCUUCAACCGUCGCGCUCUGUCGUUGUUCGCUCUUCGAUCUGCGACGUCGAUGGGUUCCCUCUGGUAAAUCAUGAACAUGUGAGAACGUGCUUUCCUCCUUUUCGCUCUUUCCGUUCUCGAUUUCUUCUUCUCUGCUACUCGCGUUCUUUCUUCUCUUUGCAUUGUGAAUGAAUCCUCGACUCUGAACUCUCUUGGCCAAUGUCUUUUUUCUGUUGUGAAGGGUGAACGAUGGUUCUUUUUGUUCAGUUUGUAGCCAUUGGUUGAAGGUUAGAGAGGUUCUGGUUAUUAGGAGCUUCGUUACUUUAGCAAAGGUUGAGGUUCGACGAAAGUUAUGGUUAUGAAGUGGAGAAGUGAAGUUGCAGGGGUCUGGAGAUGAGGGUGGUUUUGUUACAGCAGGUUGAAGGAGCGUGGUUGUGAAGUGGAGAAGUGAAGUUGCAGGGGUUGGAGGACGAAGAAGAUGGCAAUGGAAGGAAGUGAGAAAAAGAUCCUCCCCGCUGAAGAUCGAUGAAGGUUAUGACAGUUCAUUCUGAUGUCCUCGAUCUGUUUGGAUUGUACUUGCCGUUGGAGUUGGUUUGAUGUUGUUGUUAGCUGCGAUGUCGUUCCUGCUGAAGUUUUGGUGUUGUAUUUGGCUUAUGCUGCAGCUGCGUUGCCGUUUCGGCAUGUUGCAGUUGGUUUUUUCAAUUACAGCUUUGGCUUGCAGCAGCGGUAGCUGAGUUUUGAUUGUUGUUGUGUUACUGUUGGCUUUGACGCUUGGAUACUGCGUUGGCUAGCUUUCUUUUCCUGGUCUUAAUGCAAAUUAUUAAAGGUUACGUAUAUGUACAGUAUUGGGAUAAUGAUUUAGAUUUGGAUUUGAAUGGAUUAAUUGGUUACGGA